rnacentral:rRNA from 1 species
UACGUAGGGUGCAAGCGUUGUCCGGAAUUAUUGGGCGUAAAGAGCUCGUAGGCGGUUUGUCGCGUCUGCUGUGAAAACCCGAGGCUCAACCUCGGGCCUGCAGUGGGUACGGGCAGACUAGAGUGCGGUAGGGGGAGAUUGGAAUUCCUGGUGUAGCGGUGGAAUGCGCAGAUAUCAGGAGGAACACCAAUGGCGAAGGCAGAUCUCUGGGCCGUAACUGACGCUGAGGAGCGAAAGCAUGGGGAGCAAACAGG